UUUUCGUAUCAGCGGAAACAUAGCGACCGCGCCUGUGCCUGGCUCUCCAUGCCUGGACGACGCGACCAUAGCAAACGCCUUACGAAUGAAUCGGAUACUCGUGAACAGACAGUAAGUGCUUCGAGAGACGCUGUGCGCACACUUCUCGCUGCCGAAAGCCGUCUCGUCCAGGAUGCAUUGAAGCGGACACACACAGCCUGCAGCGAAGAACAACGCGACGGACAUUGCUCUACUCCACUUGGCAUCCUCUUAGACCCCCUCGUGAGCCUUGGCCGGCGCCUGGCAAUGCUGGUUGGCUGCACUCGUAUCUGACGAGCCCGGCGACGUUUUGCUGCAGCGGUAGCCUUGAGUGCCAGCAUCAGCGCAGUUCCAUCCGUGCUGUUUUGCACACGAGCCAGCUCCUCUCCAAGGCCCUUCAGGAUCUCGAGGCUGACCACCAAAACAGUGUGAAUCUGGGUCCUUAAGGAGCUUGAACACCAUCAGGUGCCAAUGCUCUGCUCAUUGUGGACAAGUACUGCGACGAGGACAGCACCUGCCUUCGUGCAAUAUUUCUGGAUGCUUCUUCAUUGUGACUAAUGUGAAACUAUUGUGCAAUUUAACCUUUGUUUACUUCACUAAAAUAAUAAAUGAACCCAACAAUUACAAGAGCAAGCUUGGAAGUGUUGAGACUUCAUAUUACUUUGACUAAAAAAUAAGAAAAAUAUAAUUUUUUAAUGCAGGAA
rnacentral:lncRNA from 1 species